AGUCUGCAUUCCAGUUUUUUUUCUUGUUUGCGGUGAGCGGAGCUUUUGAGUCGCGCUUAUAUGCGCUGCGCAGGCGCAAUUGUUUCGUCAGUUUGAAUCUUGGCUUGCAGCUGUGAAGACAUCUUCGAGAGUCAGGAAUCUUCGCGAUAGCUUUACAUCGUUUUGUGUUAAAUAAUAAUAAAGUGCAAUAUAAUGUCGGGAUUAAUGAAUGGCUUUCUGCUUUUGUUCGCCUGCAAUUUGCUGUUGGCGGUGCACGUCUCUGCCAAUAAGCAGCAGAAAAAUCAAAACCAAGAAAUCUGGGAACAAGACCUUUCCGACACCUUUAAAAUCGAGGGCAGCGACCAGGGCAUCCAAAAGGUGAACCUCAAGUGCGGAGCGGACUCCAUGAACGUGGUGCUGGAGACGGAGAAGCCCUUCACGGGCGUCAUGUACACUCGUGGAAGCUUCUACAAGCAGUCUGCGCCGUGCUUCAUGAAGCCCACUUCCAGCCAGGGAUCCCGCACCAUGGAGAUGAACUUCCAGCUGGACCAGUGCCAAACGAUCCGGGAUGGUGACCUCUACACCAACAUCGUGGUGAUCCAGAACGAUCCCGAGCUGAUCACACCCGGAGAUUCGGCCUUCUCGCUGGAGUGCGACUUCCGGCAACCUCGCAGCCUGGACGUGGAGGCCAGCAUGCAGGCCAGGGACAGAAACCCACAAAAAUUGCGCGGAGCACGCGGUGGAGCCCGCCAGCGCCAAUAGAUCUUUUCAGCCACUCUAGAUCUUUCCUCUUCGACUACAAUCACCUCCAAAAGCUGUACAUAAGGAAAUUAGCACAGAACGCGACGCAAGAGCCAAUGGGAGCAAACUGAUGGCAAUUGUGCGGCAAAUGCACUAACACCACUUCAUGUAUUUUCAUUUAAAUGGUUUUUCAUAUCCUGUGAUAUUUUUUAAGUU